UAAUUUAAAAUGGUGGAUACAUGACCUUCGGUGCUGCUCGUGGCAGAAAUAGCAACUCGAUGGUAUUAUGAAAAUAACACGAGAUAGUGACUUUAUGAUACUAUUUUCCGCCUAACAAUAAAAUGUAUAGUUGAAUGAAUGUUUGGAGCAACAAUGCGGAUACCACAUUACAAUCAUACUUUUGUACCUACUUCGUUGAGCUGUAUUUGAUUCACGAAGGUUUUUCUUGCGUUCUCUUGUUUGUAAAUAAACACGCACCAGCUACGUUCGGUAUUUAGAUGUGAUUACACGAUUACCUUGAAACGCGUCGCAAGGAGAUCGACGAAGCGCAAUGAAACGUCGCGUUUUGAGAUUUGUAGAUUUCAUUUAUGAUUGACCAGGAGCUUCGCCUCUGCGCACUUCGCACCUCACUCUUUUGUGCUCGCUGUGACUCAACAUGUUCUAGCCUUCGGGGUGACACAAUAAUCUUCUGUGUUUUUACCACAUUUUUCUAAUGUGCUGUUUUCAACUAUCUUGAGGAGACGAAGAACGGAAAGGACCGAUCUUGCAGAAAAUGGGCCACUUUUACUGGUUACUGGUAUCCUACU